rnacentral:rRNA from 1 species
CAGCCGCCGCGGGAAUACGUAGGUGGCAAGCGUUGUCCGGAAUUAUUGGGCGUAAAGGGCUCGCAGGCGGUUUCUUAAGUCUGAUGUGAAAGCCCCCGGCUCAACCGGGGAGGGUCAUUGGAAACUGGGAAACUUGAGUGCAGAAGAGGAGAGUGGAAUUCCACGUGUAGCGGUGAAGUGCGUAGAGAUGUGGAGGAACACCAGUGGCGAAGGCGACUCUCUGGUCUGUAACUGACGCUGAGGAGCGAAAGCGUGGGGAGCGAACAGGAUUAGAUACCCGCGUAGUCCCUGUCUCUUAUAC